rnacentral:lncRNA from 1 species
CCUUCUUUAAUCUUCAUGAGCCCUCUUGGAUCUCUUCUAAGUGAACUUUCCUUUCUUUCCUGUUCUAAGGCCUUUUAAGUAAACUUCCACUCCUGCUCUAAAAUGUGCCUAGGUCUCUUGUUCUGCUUUAUGCCCCUCAGUCUAGUUGUUUCUUCUGAGGAGGCAAGAUUUAAAGUUGCGGCCGACCUGUGCGGAUUUGCUACUGGUAACUCCUGGUAACUCCGGUCUCUUCCACCACUAACAAAAUGAGGUCCUUGAGGUGGGCUCUAAUUCAGUAUGACCGGUAUCCUUACAAAGAGGAGAUGAGGACCUAGGCACACUCAGAGGAAAGAUCGCUUGAAGACACAAGGAGAAGAUGACACUGUACAAGCUAAGGAAAGAGGCCUCAGAAGAAACCAACCCUGCUGACACCUGGGUCCUGGACUUCUAUCCCACAGAACUACAGAGUCUCGCUCUGUUGCCAGGCUGGAGUGCAAUGGUGAGAUCUCAGCUCACUUCACCCUCCGUCUCCCAGGUUCAAGCAAUUCUCCUGCCUCAGCCUCCCGAGUAGCUGGGACUACAGAGGGAAAGAACAAUAAGCAAAUGAAGUAAAAUGUUGGCAGUAGGUGAGUAUUGGUAAAGAAUAUGUGGAUGUUCUUUGUAUUAAUUUUAUUUCUGCAACUCUUCUGCAGACUAAAAUGAUUUCCAAA